AGAGGAGGAAGAAGAAGAGGAGGAGGAGGAGGAGGAAGGGGAGGAAGAGGAAGAGGAGAAAGAAAAGCCCAUCCUUUGUUUCUAAGUGGGAAAUGCAGUGUGGCCCCUAACAGGGUGAGAAGCAGCAAGUUGUACCUAAGAGAAAGAAAAUGGCAGCCAUCCAGCAAUUCCAAGCCCUUCACCACUUAUUUGCUGGUUCUCAGGGAGGGUGUGCGGGAGGCCGACUCGUGUGCAGAAGUCAGCUCAGGUGGCAGAGGCCUCGUAUUGGGCUUUUAGAGCUCUCACACUGGUAGCUCCAGAGGAUGGUGCAUUGUCAAGUUCUGCUCACCACUCCCACCUUCUGUGAAAGGAGACCAAGCAGGAAACUUGGAAGCAACAAUCAACGGCAAUGGCAGCACAGAAUGGGCUUCAGAGUUCAAGAAAAGUAUUGAAGUAAUAAAAAUAUUUUCCCA